GACAGAGGUGCCGAGCGUUAGGCGGAAUCACUGGGCUUAAAGCGUGUGUAGGCGGACGUCUAAGUGCCUUGUGAAAUCCCCCGGCUCAACCGGGGAAUGGCUGGGCAUACUGGGCGUCUUGAGUGGUCUAGGGGCAACUGGAACAAACGGUGGAGCGGUGAAAUGCGUAGAGAUGUGGAGGAACACCGGUGGCGAAGGCGGGUCUCUGGGGCCGAUACUGACGCUGAGGAGCGAAAGCGUGGGGAGCGAACAGG
rnacentral:rRNA from 1 species